UGGAGCUGCCGGCUGCGGUGGUUGAGGGGGAGGAGGAGUCGUAACCCCCGCUGCCCAGUCCAAACCCGCGCACAACAAUUCAAGUGCUCCCACUCGCAGGCCUGGCAACACUCAAGUUGCCCCAGUUACGUGUUGUGGCGACGUUUGUCAUUGGGCCUUUCUGGAGACGAUGGCUUAGUCCUAUGUAACCAGAAUGGCGUGACACAGAACACCGGUCAGAGGGAUGUUAGCAAGUGUGCUGAGAGAUAAGGUGUUCUGAGCUCCUAUAAGAGUUGGCAGAACACCACGGAAAAAUGCUGCCUUUGAUGAAAGGAGGGAUGCUCUGUGUGAAAACACCCAUCUGUGGGAGAGAAAUGUUUCUGAAGGCACCAUUCAAAUGACACCAUUUUACUUUGGUGGCCAGAAUUGCUUCAUCCCCAAAAUCCCAGAAGUAAUUCAAUCCCCCUCAUCCUGCCCCAGGCCGUCAUGCAAGUACUCAAUCUACAAAUGCUUGGGGAGUGCCCACUCACGCCAGGAGCUGUUCUGGAUGAGCACUCCUGCCUUUGUUUCCUUGCUCGUGACUACACAUCUUACCCAACAGCUCACAAGGACUGUGUGCUGAAGAUUGGAAAAUAUGAAUCAGACUUUCAGGAGAGAGACUUGCCCCCUCCUUUGGGACCCUAAAGAGCAGAGCCAGCCUCUGGGUGUGGAUGGAUGUUGAGGGAACUAAGGAGUAGUGUGAGUUCUGCUUGGUCCACUCUUCACAGUGUGCUAUUUUGGCAUCCUUGGCAACCUUCUUUUAAUCUUUAGUAUAAGAGCUGUACAACUGGGAGUCCAACAAGCUACAAGGGCUGAUCAUAAGAACAAUGAUGAAAAUAGAAAAUAUUUCCCAUAUUAAGCCCUUCAUAUAUGUUAAGUCUAUUUUUACUGUACUUGGAGGGCUAAGUAUUUUCUUGUCCCUGGUUGAAAUCUCAGGCAGGUGCCAUAAUAAUUUUUAGAAUUUUAAUAAUAACAUGA